rnacentral:misc_RNA from 1 species
ACGCACAUUGCGCCCUUUGGUAUUCCGAAGGGCAUGCCUGUUCGAGCGUCAUUGUACCCCUCAAGCAUUGCUUGGUAUUGGGCUUCGCCUCUGUGGCGGUCCAGCUAGACUUCAAGCGUAGCAUGAUUUUCACGAUCCCACUUUGGAAGAUCCCUGCUGCGUGCCGGCCAGAUAACCACAAUUUCUUUAAAUGAUUGACCUCUGAUCAGGUAGGGAUACCCGCUGAACUUAA